rnacentral:rRNA from 1 species
GCCUACGGGGGGCAGCAGUAGGGAAUUUUCGUCAAUGGGCGCAAGCCUGAACGAGCAAUGCCGCGUGAACGAGGAAGGUCUUCGGAUCGUAAAGUUCUGUUGAAGGGGAAGAAGAGCGGAGAGAGGAAAUGGUCUCCGAUUGAUAUUACCCUUCGAGGAAGUCACGGCUAACUACGUGCCAGCAGCCGCGGUAAUACGUAGGUGGCGAGCGUUAUCCGGAAUGAUUGGGCGUAAAGGGUGCGUAGGCGGCCUGCUAAGUCUGGAGUGAAAGGUACCGGCUCAACCGGUACAGGCUCUGGAAACUG